AAGCGAAACUCGUUUGCUGCGUGAUGUUUCAUCUCUACAGUUUAUUCAGGAAGGAAGAGAUCCAAUAUUGCUCUGUGGACAGACGGUUGAGAUUCCACCACCACGUCCAAUUGCCCGAAUGCGUCAUGCUUCCUCUGCACCAAUGCCGAUCCCUGCUCUGAUUGAGGAGAACAAAGCUAACCCACGCCCCCUCCGACAUGUGGGCAGCAUGCCGUAUGCAUCUUAUCACCUACACUUUGACGAGUGCAGUGCAGCUCAGCGUUGUGUAUGGAGAGACACACCCUGAGAGCACUCUUUUCUCAUCUCUGUGCAGGCGCCACCAAUCAGCCAGCAGAGGUCGUAACCGCAUCAUUUAUGAGGAGCGUCAUUCCAGCUUUUACCCUGUGUAAACAACAUUCAUUGUUCAUAUAGGUGCCCAGCCGGAUGGCAAAGCUGAGAUUUCGAAUGUGUGCUAGCAUGUUUUACCUGAGCGCCCACGUCGUAUAAUUUUAUUUAAAAUCCUCCUGCCCUCGCUGGUCUGUUAAAUGAUAUCUUAUACUAUAUGUAGAGAAUGUAAUUCUGAAACACAUUGGGCCCUUUAAAACCAAUAAAGCUUUGUUUGUGUGCACCACC